UUAACUCAUAUUUGUAUGGAGUGGGAUCGUUUGCGUACGUUUGCCGCUAGGGGCGCUGUUCCACCUGCAUACUAAAUUGGGUUA
rfam:Bombyx mori DNA, contig: Bm_scaf39_contig22685, strain: p50T/Dazao, build 2, whole genome shotgun sequence.